rnacentral:lncRNA from 1 species
UCCCACCCGGGUCCCCCACCUCCCGCCGAGCCCCCCAGUUGCGCCGCCCCCGGGCCCCCAGGGCCCCCUGAGUCCGGAACCACAAUUUCCCAAGGGCGCAAAGGCAGCCGAAGGACGCGCUGCCCUUGCCGGCCUGGUGGCCACACAGAGGGGCCCUUUAGCCUCGCCCAGUGGCCGGGGGCCCUCGGGGGCCCUGGGGGUUACCCCACCCUGUGGGCCUGUGCCCGGGACACCUGGGCGGGGCCUGGGGGCCACAGGUCACCCCCUGGGUGCCAGGAGCCCGCCCGCUUCCUUGAGAAAGCGUGUCAUGGAGAACUGGCCGCCGCUGGUGCCCAGCUUGCCACAGAUAUCAGGCGAUGUGGUCACGUCACCUCUGUGGCCCGGCCAACCUGGCACUGGCCUGGGCAAGGGCAACUCGGCCUGGGAGAAGGGGGCCCCGCCCAGUGGGGGAGCAGCGGUGACCGCCCAGAGGGCCAUGCCCGUUUUAAAACACAGCUUGUUAUCGGGACCAGUCGGACAGCACGCGGUCAGAGGGCGGCUGGCUGCGGUUUACCAAGCGCCCCCGUGGGCCGGUGCUCCGGGACGUGGAGAAUGUUUUGUGUGCCCCCCCUUCAUAGCCAACCUGUUAUGUAAACAUUUCACUGCCCUUUCUCCCUGGGCUAGGACUUUACAGGUGAGCGUCGAAGUCUCACUUCAGAGUGGACGUUGUGCUGGGACUUCCGAUUCACGCUGGAAGGACAACGGCUAGCACAUAGUAGGUGCUCAAUAGUUGCUCCUUUGAAGGGAAUGAGCCCGUUUUACAGAAGGAAAACUGAGGGUCCCAAGGGUCCAAGUCGCCCAGCCAGUGAGUAGCAGAGAGGGAGCUGCCUCCCUCCACUGCCCCCCCCCCCUCUGAUCACCCCCGGGCAUCCCCAGGAGGCCGUUACCCAACUUCACCUCCUCCCCGAGUUCUGUUUUCCAGGGGAAGUGUCGAAAGAGAACCUCCGCUUUUCUGCCAGCGGGAAUGGAGCUAGGAGGCCUGAGGGGCUGCGGAGGCCGUGUGACUCCUAAGGAGGGGCGUCGGGCUCCGGGGAUCUAGCGUGAAAACAAAUAUUCAUUAUUUUAAUAAAAUGUUUUUUGGAAAACUAACAAGGCCCAAUUUGUUUCCGGAGAAUCU